rnacentral:tRNA from 1 species
AACCCUGUAACCGAGUUGGUAACGGGUUUAGAUUGUCAGUUCGAGGUCGUGAGUUCGAUUCCCACCAGGGGUC